rnacentral:rRNA from 1 species
CGCGUAGGCGGCCACGCACGUCCGUUGUGAAAUCGCUCGGCUCAACUGGGCGGGGUCAGCGGAUACGGUGUGGCUGGAGCAAGCUAGGGGGCAAUGGAAUUCCCGGUGUAGUGGUGGAAUGCGUAGAUAUCGGGAGGAACACCAGUGGCGAAGGCGGUUGCCUGGAGCUUUGCUGACGCUGAUGCGCGAAAGCGUGGGGAGCGAUCCGGAUUAGAUACCCGGGUAGUCCACGCCGUAAACGAUGCGGACUAGGUGUCGGGGGUAUCGACCCCCUCGGCGCCGCAGCUAACGCAUUAAGUCCGCCGCCUGGGGACUACGGCCGCAAGGCUAAA